rnacentral:lncRNA from 12 species
AUGGACGGACGGGCGGAUGGACGGACGGAGGUUCGGACGGGCCCCCCGCGGCGGGGGUCGCGCGUGCCUGGGCCCGGGCGGUGUGGGGCCCGGUUUGUGGGGAGGCCUGCCAAGGGUGCUGAGGCCGGCCGGCGUCCCGGGCGUCGCGGGACCGCCCUCGUGCUGGUGGCGGUGGGAUCCCGUGGGCGUUUACCCGGUGGCCCGGCUCGCGCCUUCGUUGGCGCGCCCUUCCCGGGACCGGCCUUUUCCCACGCGCCCUCCCGGCCCUCGCCCGCUGGCUGGCCCCUGGCCGCCGGGGCGUCUCCCGUCCGCGGCCUUUCCCGAAAGUCCGCCCCCGUCCGUCGUCCGUCUUGCCGACCCGGUGCCGCGCUCCCCGGGGCGCCCGGCGCUUCCCGGACCCGCUGCGGCCUUCCCGCCGCGUCCGCCGCUUGCCCCCGCCCCCCGGCGGUGGCGUUGUGUGGUGACGAGGGGCCGCCGUCGUCUCCCGCCGCCCCCCACCCCCGCCGGCCGCGUCCCCGCCCUGGCGCGCGCGUGCCCCGGGCGUGGGUCGGGUCCCCGGCGGCCACUCGCCGUUGGCUGUCCGCGCCCCGCGCGCGUCUCCCCGGUGGCGGGGAGGGGUUCGGGCUCUGGCCCGGCGCCCCACCUCCGGCCCGCGUGAGCGCGUGCUCGGCCCGCUGCCGGCCCCGGCGCGACCACCGGGCGUCCCCGUCCCCCGCCCGCGGGCCGCCGCCGCCAUCGGGGCCGUCCGGAGGGGAGGGGGUGGCGGGUGAAGCGCCCUCGUCUCCCCGUCGCCGCCGCCGCCGAGGUGUGCGCGCCCCGGUCCGUGGGGCGGGACCGGCCGCUCGGUCGGUCGGUCGGUUAGCGUGGCUCGCCGCCGCCGCCACCGCCUCUGCCGCGUGCGCUCCCCCGCGCCCGGCACGUCCGGCCCACCCGCCGCGAGCCGCACGGCGCUCGCUCGCUCGCUCCCUCCCUCCCUUCUCCCUCCCUGCCUCCCGGUGGGGGGUGGGGUUGGGGCGGGCGGGCAGGCGCGCGCGCGCGCCCGCACGAUCUCUGGCUCACCCGCGCUCCUACCUGGUUGAUCCUGCCACUAGCAUAUGCUUGUCUCAAAGAUUAAGCCAUGCAUGUGUAAGUACGCACGGCCCGUACAGUGAAACUGCGAAUGGCUCAUUAAAUCAGUUAUGGUUCCUUGGUCGCUCGCUCCUCUCCUACUUGGAUAACUGUGGUAUUUCUAGAGCUAAUACAUGCCGACGGGCGCUGACCCCCCUCGCGGGGGGGAUGCGUGCAUUAAUCAGAUCAAAACCAACCCGGUCAGCCUCCCUCCGGCCCCGGCCGGGGGGCGGGCGCCGGCGGCUUUGGUGA